rnacentral:lncRNA from 1 species
CUCCUACACUACUCCCCCUAGACGACAUAGUGAAUCAACAGAUCGUCUAGUUAUAGCACAAAAUAAAAUAAUUCGGUUUUUUUAAAUUGUUUGUUAAUGGGUCCUUUAUUCAAGUGUUCAGGAAGAACAUGUAUUAUUUCUCCAUUAUUUUUAAGAAACUUUCGACGUCGAGGUUGCCAGAAGUAUAGGUGUACGCGUUAAAUAAAUUAAAUGCCAUGGAUCCUGAGCGGCCUGUGAUUAAUUGAAAAGAAUUCGUGCUACUAGCCCGGUCUUAAACGAUCUGUGGAAACUUUCUAUGAGUCCGUUGGACUCUGGAUGAUACGAGGUUGUGUUUUUGCUUGCAAUCCCAUGUGUCCUGCAAACCCCCAUCAAUAAUGAACUUGUGAACUGAGUUCCUCAGUCAGACACAAUGAUUCCUGGAACUCGAAACCUCAAAAUCCAAGCACUCAAAAAAUUAUUGACUAUUGUCUUGAAAGUUAUAUCUGGAAUAGGUAUCACUUCUGGCCACUUUGUGAAACGAUCCAUAAUAGUUACGGCAUAGCACUGUCCCUGAAUCCGUGGAAAUGGACCGAUUUUGUCGACGUGAAUAAAGGAAAGUCUUUCAGAUGGAGGAUCGAAAGAUGACAUUGGUUUUGAGCUCCUGAAAAGUUAGGUUUUCUGACACGCUAAACACACUCUAGUGAAGUUCCUGACGUCUCCACACAAAUUAGGACAAGCGUAAAAAAGUGGAAUCUUCCUAAACGUUUCUUUAAAUCCCGGACAAUUUUCCUUGUGUACAGAAUGCACGAUCCUUUGACGCAAUUCUGGAGAUAACACAGAAUGCGUCAGUAUUGUCAAAACCAGCAAGUAGGGUUCCUGCAAUGUAUUUAACAGAAAGUUUAAUUUUAAACUUAAGUAAAUAAGGACCCUGUUUCUUUUGAUCCUCAAUUACAUCUUCGAUGAAGUUUGGGCCUAUUGUGGUGUUAUUUAUACUUUUAGAAAGAAUGUCUGGAGUAUGAUUUAAUUUUCCAGAAACAUGUUCGAUAUCACAAUGGAAUUCUGCUAUGAAUGCAAAAGUACAGAACUAUCUUGGUGUCCAAAAGGGAUUGUGAAUGUUAAUCGCUGUGACUGAAGGUUGGUGGUCCGUGAAAACUUUAAAAACUUGUCCAUCCAAAGCCCAUGCAAAAUGUUGGAUGCUCUCCUUAACCCUUAAUAAUUCCCUAUCAAACGUUCAAUAUUUCUGUUGUGUCGUUGAAAGAGCCCGAUAUCAAAAAUUUAGAGGUUGCCAGUAUCCAUUUACCUUUAGCUUGAGAACAGCUCCCAUCCCUGUAUCAGAUGAAUCAGUUGUCAGUGCUAAAGGCAAAGAACUAUCUCUGAAUGCAAGUUGAGUUAUUUUAGACAAACUAUUUUCAAUACCUUGAAAGGCAUGUUCAUGUUUUGUAUUCCAAUUAAACUUUACAUUCUUCUAUAACAGGGGGUUCAAAUGAAUUGUCCAUUGAGACAAUCUUUCGAUGAACUGAGAGUAAUAUUUUGCCGUUCUCAAAAAUCUAUACAGUUCAUCUUUGGAUUUGGGAGUUGGUACUUUUUUUAUUGCAUUUACCUUACAUUUUACAGGCCUAAAACCUUUUGAUGAAAUAGAAUGUCCAAGGAACUCUACUGAUUUCAUGAAAAAUUCACAUUUUUCAGGCAAGAUGAUCAUACAAGCUGUUUCAAGACUUUAUAACACCUCGUUCAAUGUUUUUCAAUGCUCAUCCAUCAACUCCGAAGCGACAAGGAUAUCAUCAAUGUCCACAAACACAUUUGGAAUUCCUCGUAGAAUUGAAUUGAUAUUCUCUGAAAUGUCUGAGUAUAUAUUUUUAAGACCAAAAGGGAUCCUCAAAUGUUCAUAUUUAACGAAAUGGUAUAAUGAUUACAGUUUUAUUUAUAGAAGUGCUAUUCAUAGAUAUUUGGUUAUAUGCUCUGUGUAAAUCUAUUUUACUAAAAACAGUCAUAAUUUUUAGAUUAGCAUACUAAUCUGAUAGAUAUGGGAGGGGAUACCCAUAAAGGUCCGUCAUCCUAUUUAAUUGACAAUAGUUGCCAAACAUUCGCCAGCUUCCUUUGGGUUUUAGAAUGACGUGAAUAGCAGAAGAAAAAUUAGAAGAAGACGAGCGUAGGAUUCCUUUCUUCAACAAAUGGUUGAUUACGUCUCCUACAAAAUUUAACUUCUCACCAUCUAACUUGUGCAAUUUCGCAAAGCAAGGAGGACCUUUCUUUUCGAUAUGGUGUUCAACUCCGUGAGCUGGAUAAGUUUCUAUAUAACUUUAUAACUUUUAUUAUCAAAGAAAUAAUUAUAAUUCAAUUUGAUUUCUUGACUUUUCGAUAGUUCUGAAAUGAAGCACAGUUAAUCUC